CAGUCGCCACGGUAAUACGAAGGGUGCAAGCGUUACUCGGAAUUACUGGGCGUAAAGCGUGCGUAGGUGGUGGUUUAAGUCCGUUGUGAAAGCCCUGGGCUCAACCUGGGAAUUGCAGUGGAUACUGGGUCACUAGAGUGUGGUAGAGGAUAGUGGAAUUUCCGGUGUAGCAGUGAAAUGCGUAGAGAUCGGAAGGAACAUCUGUGGCGAAGGCGACUAUCUGGGCCAACACUGACACUGAGACACGAAAGCGUGGGGAGCAAACAGGAUUAGAUACCCCAGUAGUCCCUGUCUCUUAUAC
rnacentral:rRNA from 1 species